rnacentral:rRNA from 1 species
UGCCAGCCGCCGCGGUAAUACGGAGGGGGCUAGCGUUGUUCGGAAUUACUGGGCGUAAAGCGCAUGUAGGUGGUGUGGCAAGUUAGAGGUGAAAGGCCUGGGCUCAACCUGGGAACUGCCUUUAAUACUGUCAUACUAGAGUUCGGGAGAGGGUAGCGGAGUUCCUAGUGUAGAGGUGAAAUUCGUAGAUAUUAGGAGGAACACCAGAGGCGAAGGCGGCUUUCUGGCUCGGAUCUGACGCUGAGGCGCGAAAGCGUGGGUAGCAAACAGGAUUAGAUA